rnacentral:tRNA from 1 species
GAAGUUAUAGUUUAAAAAAAACCCCAAGUUGCAAGCUUGGAAUUGAGCUUACUCUAACUUUU